CUACCAUAGACUGUGUCUGCCCCCAAAGCAGGUGGCCACGCUGCCUGAGCAGCCCUGCCAGGCAGGUUUGUGGUCCCCGAGUCCUGGGAGGCCAACCAAGCCGAGCAGCGAGAAGCAGAAACUGCAUCGCAAAUCCAGUGGCUGGAUCUCCACUCAAAAGUCAGGAGCAUAUCGACGUGGUUUCUGAUGGAGACGAUAGAUCACUAGCCCUAGACGCCCCUGGCCUUGCCUGCUCCUUGGACACUGGCCCCGCACAGUGCCUGCCUGGACCCUAGAGAAGGAUCUGGUCCCUUCAUCACUAUCUUCCCUGGUUCUCUUUUUCCUUCAGAUUCAGGAGCAA
rnacentral:lncRNA from 1 species